UACUAUGUUACGACUUAUCUUACCUUAAUAGUAAGAGUGACGGGCGAUGUGUACAUAUUUUAGAGCUAAAAUCAAAACUAUAAUCUUUUAAUUUUUACUAUCAAAUCCACCUUCAUUAAAUUAUUUAAAAAUUAAAUCCGUUUAAAUAAAUUUAUUGUAACCCAUCUCUACUUAAACAUAAGCUACACCUUGAUCUGAUAUAAAUUAUAAUUUAAAUUAUUGAAAAUUAUUAUUCUAAUAAAAUAUUCUAAUAACGACGGUAUAUAAACUGAAAAACAAAUUUAAGUGAGGUACAUCGUGGAUUAUCAAUUACAGGACAGGUUCCUCUGAAUAGACUAAAAUACCGCCAAAUUUUUUAAGUUUCAAGAACAUAACUAAUACUACCUAAGUGAUUUUUAAUACAUUUUAAAUAAUAGGGUAUCUAAUCCUAGUUUA
rnacentral:rRNA from 1 species